rnacentral:snRNA from 1 species
AUAAACUAAUUGCAUUCUCA